CUACGGGUCGCUGCAGUGAGGAAUAUUGCACAAUGGGGGGAACCCUGAUGCAGCAACGCCGCGUGGAGGAUGACGCAUUUCGGUGUGUAAACUCCUUUUAUAUGUCAAGAAAAUGACGGUAGCAUAUGAAUAAGCACCGGCUAACUCCGUGCCAGCAGCCGCGGUAAUACGGAGGGUGCAAGCGUUACUCGGAAUCACUGGGCGUAAAGGACGCGUAGGCGAGUUGGAAAGUCAGGUGUGAAAUCCUACAGCUUAACUGUAGAACUGCACUUGAAACUUCUAAUCUAGAGUAUGGGAGGGGGAGAUGGAAUUAGUGGUGUAGGGGUAAGAUCCGUAGAUAUCACUAGGAAUACCUAACGCGAAGGCGAUCUCCUGGAACAUUACUGACGCUAAGGCGUGAAAGCGUGGGGAGCAAACAGGAUUAGAUACCCUAGUAGUC
rnacentral:rRNA from 1 species